rnacentral:rRNA from 1 species
GUGGGGAAUUUUGGACAAUGGGCGCAAGCCUGAUCCAGCAAUGCCGCGUGCAGGAAGAAGGCCUUCGGGUUGUAAACUGCUUUUGUACGGAACGAAACGGUCCUGGUUAAUACCCGGGGCUAAUGACGGUACCGUAAGAAUAAGCACCGGCUAACUACGUGCCAGCAGCCGCGGUAAUACGUAGGGUGCGAGCGUUAAUCGGAAUUACUGGGCGUAAAGCGUGCGCAGGCGGUGCUGUAAGACAGGCGUGAAAUCCCCGGGCUCAACCUGGGAAUUGCGCUUGUGACUGCAGUGCUGGAGUACGGCAGAGGGGGAUGGAAUUCCGCGUGUAGCAGUGAAAUGCGUAGAUAUGCGGAGGAACACCGAUGGCGAAGGCAGUCCCCUGGGCCUGUACUGACGCUCAUGCACGAAAGCGUGGGGAGCAAACAGGAUUAGAAACCCUGGUAGUCC